rnacentral:rRNA from 1 species
UGGGGAAUAUUGCACAAUGGGGGAAACCCUGAUGCAGCGACGCCGCGUGAGCGCAGAAGGUUUUCGAAUCGUAAAGCUCUGUCCUAUGAGAAGAUAAUGACGGUAUCAUAGGAGGAAGCCCCGGCUAAAUACGUGCCAGCAGCCGCGGUAAUACGUAUGGGGCGAGCGUUGUCCGGAAUUAUUGGGCGUAAAGGGUACGUAGGCGGUCUAUUAAGUCAGGUGUGAAAGCGUGAGGCUUAACCUCAUUAAGCACUUGAAACUGAUAGACUUGAGUGAAGGAGAGGAAAGUGGAAUUCCUAGUGUAGCGGUGAAAUGCGUAGAUAUUAGGAGGAAUACCGGUGGCGAAGGCGACUUUCUGGACUUUUACUGACGCUCAGGUACGAAAGCGUGGGGAGCAAACAGG